rnacentral:rRNA from 1 species
AUCAACUUUCGAUGGUAGGAUAGAGGCCUACCAUGGUGGUGACGGGUGACGGAGAAUUAGGGUUCGAUUCCGGAGGGGGAGCCUGAGAAACGGCUACCACAUCCAAGGAAGGCAGCAGACGCGCAAAUUGCCCAAUCCCGACACGGGGAGGUAGUGACAAUAAAUAACAAUACAGGGUUCUUUUGGAUCUUGUAAUUGGAAUGAGUACAAUUUAAAUCUCUUAACGAGGAACAAUUGGAGGGCAAGUCUGGUGCCAGCAGCCGCGGUAAUUCCAGCUCCAAUAGCGUAUAUUAAAGUUGUUGCAGUUAAAAAGCUCGUAGUUGAAUUUCGGGAUCAAUAUUUCGGUCAUGCCGUUGGUAUGCACUGUUAUCAUUGAUUUCUCACCUUCUAAAGAACCGUAAUGCCAUUAAUUUGGUGUUACGGGGAAUUAGGACUGUUACCUUGAAAAAAUUAGAGUGUUUAAAGCAGGCAUUUUGCUUGAAUACAUUAGCAUGGAAUAAUAAAAUAGGACGGCAUGAUUCUAUUUUGUUGGUUUCUAGGAUCACCGUAAUGAUUAAUAGGGAUAGUUGGGGGCAUUAGUAUUCAAUUGUCAGAGGUGAAAUUCUUGGAUUUAUUGAAGACUAACUACUGCGAAAGCAUUUGCCAAGGAUGUUUUCAUUAAUCAAGAACGAAAGUUAGGGGAUCGAAGACGAUCAGAUACCGUCGUAGUCUUAACCCAUAAACUAUGCCGACUAGGGAUCGGAUGAUGUUAAUUUUUUAAUGACUCUGUUUG